rnacentral:rRNA from 1 species
GAUGAACGCUGGCGGCGUGCCUAAUACAUGCAAGUCGAGCGAACAGACGAGGAGCUUGCUCCUCUGACGUUAGCGGCGGACGGGUGAGUAACACGUGGAUAACCUACCUAUAAGACUGGGAUAACUUCGGGAAACCGGAGCUAAUACCGGAUAAUAUAUUUAACCGCAUGGUUCAAUAGUGAAAGACGGUUUUGCUGUCACUUAUAGAUGGAUCCGCGCCGCAUUAGCUAGUUGGUAAGGUAACGGCUUACCAAGGCAACGAUGCGUAGCCGACCUGAGAGGGUGGUCGGCCACACUGGAACUGAGACAAGGUCCAGACUACUACGGGAGGCAGCAGUAGAGAAUCUUACGCAAUGGGCGAAAGCCUGACGGAGCAACGCCGCGUGAGUGAUGAAGGUCUUCGGAUCGUAAAACUCUGUUAUUAGGGAAGAACAAAUGUGUAAGUAACUAUGCACGUCUUGACGGUACCUAAUCAGAAAGCCACGGCUAACUACGUG